rnacentral:pre_miRNA from 1 species
ACCACUGAGCCACCUUUCCAGCCCUGUAAUAUAUUUUUUAAAAAGAAUAAGAUUGGGGCUAGGAAGGUGGCUCAGUGGU